rnacentral:rRNA from 1 species
GUCCUUUAGAAUUUAAUUUAAGGUUUAACCUGCCCACUGAUUUAUUGAAGGGCCGCAGUAAUUUGACUGUGCAAAGGUAGCAUAAUCAUUAGUUUUUUAAUUAAAAGCUUGUAUGAAGGGUUGGACGAGGUAAAUUCUGUCUCUAAAUAAUUUAUUUUAGAAUUUAAUUUUUAAGUUAAAAAGCUUAGAUAUAUUUAAAAGACGAGAAGACCCUAUAGAUCUUUAUAUUAUAUUUAUUAAUUUGGUUAAAGAUUGAUUUAUUUUUUAAGUAAAUAUAUUAUUUUAUUGGGGUAAUAAAAAGAUUUAAGAAAUUCUUUUUUUAUUUAUACAUUGAUAGAUGAUUUUAUGAUCCAUUAUUAUUGAUUAAAAGAUUAAGUUACCUUAGGGAUAACAGCGUAAUUUUUUUUGAGAGUUCAUAUCGAUAAAAAAGUUUGCGACCUCGAUGUUGGAUUAAAAAUUAUUUUAGGUGUAGAAGCUUGAAAAUUUGGUCUGUUCGACCAUUAAAUUUUU